UGGCGGCGUGCUUAACACAUGCAAGUCGAACGGACCUUCGGGUUAGUGGCGGACGGGUGAGUAACGCGUGAGAAUCUGCCCUCAGGAGGGGGACAACAGCUGGAAACGGCUGCUAAUACCCCAUAUGCCGCGAGGUGAAAUGAAUUUCGCCUGAGGAUGAGCUCGCGUCUGAUUAGCUAGUUGGUGUAGGUAAUGGCUCACCAAGGCAUCGAUCAGUAGCUGGUCUGAGAGGAUGAUCAGCCACACUGGGACUGAGACACGGCCCAGACUCCUACGGGAGGCAGCAGUGGGGAAUUUUCCGCAAAGGGCGAAAGCCUGACGGAGCAACGCCGCGUGAGGGAUGAAGGCCUCUGGGCUGUAAACCUCUUUUAUCAAGGAAGAAGAUCUGACGGUACUUGAUGAAUAAGCCACGGCUAAUUCCGUGCCAGCAGCCGCGGUAAUACGGGAGUGGCAAGCGUUAUCCGGAAUUAUUGGGCGUAAAGCGUCCGCAGGCGGCCCUUCAAGUCUGCUGUUAAAAAGUGGAGCUUAACUCCAUCAUGGCAGUGGAAACUGUUGGGCUUGAGUGUGGUAGGGGCAGAGGGAAUUCCCGGUGUAGCGGUGAAAUGCGUAGAUAUCGGGAAGAACACCAGUGGCGAAGGCGCUCUGCUGGGCCAUCACUGACGCUCAUGGACGAAAGCCAGGGGAGCGAAAGGGAUUAGAUACCCCUGUAGUCCUGGCCGUAAACGAUGAACACUAGUGUCGGGGGAAUCGACCCCCUCGGUGUCGUAGCCAACGCGUUAAGUGUUCCGCCUGGGAGUACGCACGC
rnacentral:rRNA from 1 species